GGGGGGGGGAGCUAAUUACAUGCAAGUCGAGCGGACAGAUGGGAGCUUGCUCCCUGAUGUUAGCGGCGGACGGGUGAGUAACACGUGGGUAACCUGCCUGUAAGACUGGGAUAACUCCGGGAAACCGGGGCUAAUACCGGAUGGUUGUUUGAACCGCAUGGUUCAAACAUAAAAGGUGGCUUCGGCUACCACUUACAGAUGGACCCGCGGCGCAUUAGCUAGUUGGUGAGGUAACGGCUCACCAAGGCAACGAUGCGUAGCCGACCUGAGAGGGUGAUCGGCCACACUGGGACUGAGACACGGCCCAGACUCCUACGGGAGGCAGCAGUAGGGAAUCUUCCGCAAUGGACGAAAGUCUGACGGAGCAACGCCGCGUGAGUGAUGAAGGUUUUCGGAUCGUAAAGCUCUGUUGUUAGGGAAGAACAAGUACCGUUCGAAUAGGGCGGUACCUUGACGGUACCUAACCAGAAAGCCACGGCUAACUACGUGCCAGCAGCCGCGGUAAUACGUAGGUGGCAAGCGUUGUCCGGAAUUAUUGGGCGUAAAGGGCUCGCAGGCGGUUUCUUAAGUCUGAUGUGAAAGCCCCCGGCUCAACCGGGGAGGGUCAUUGGAAACUGGGGAACUUGAGUGCAGAAGAGGAGAGUGGAAUUCCACGUGUAGCGGUGAAAUGCGUAGAGAUGUGGAGGAACACCAGUGGCGAAAGGCGACUCUCUGGUCUGUAACUGACGCUGAGGAGCGAAAGCGUGGGGAGCGAACAGGGAUUAGAUACCCUGGUAGUCCACGCCGUAAACGAUGAGUGCUAAGUGUUAGGGGUUUCCCGCCCCUUAGUGCUGCAGCUAACGCAUUAAGCACUCCGCCUGGGGGAGUACGGUCGCAAGACUGAAACUCAAAAGAAUUGACGGGGGGCUCGCACAAGCCGGUGCAGCAUGUGGAUUAAUUUCGAGCACGCGAGAUCUUACAGUCUGGACAUUCUCUGACAUCCUAGAGAAUAGACCGUCCUACGGGUAGAACUGACAGGUC
rnacentral:rRNA from 1 species